rnacentral:rRNA from 1 species
UGGGUUAAGUCCCGCAACGAGCGCAACCCUUGAUCUUAGUUGCCAGCAUUGAGUUGGGCACUCUAAGGUGACUGCCGGUGACAAACCGGAGGAAGGUGGGGAUGACGUCAAAUCAUCAUGCCCCUUAUGACCUGGGCUACACACGUGCUACAAUGGAUGGUACAAAGGGCAGCGAAACCGCGAGGUGAAGCCAAUCCCAUAAAGCCAUUCUCAGUUCGGAUUGCAGGCUGCAACUCGCCUGCAUGAAGCAGGAAUUG